UACGAAGGGGGCUAGCGUUGCUCGGAAUUACUGGGCGUAAAGGGCGCGUAGGCGGAUACUUAAGUUGGGGGUGAAAGCCCGGGGCUCAACCUCGGAAUUGCCUUCAAUACUGGGUAUCUUGAGUUCGGGAGAGGUGAGUGGAAUGCCGAGUGUAGAGGUGAAAUUCGUAGAUAUUCGGCGGAACACCAGUGGCGAAGGCGACUCACUGGCCCGAUACUGACGCUGAGGUGCGAAAGCGUGGGGAGCAAAAGGG
rnacentral:rRNA from 1 species